UAUUUUUUAUAAAUUGAAUUGUGUUAUUAAUAAUAGCAAUGCUGUUGAUAGUCGUAAUUAUGAUCGAUAUCACGUAAAAUAUUAACAUAUUGUAUUUAUUUAUGAUUAUAAUAUAAGCCGUUUAUAAUAAAUAUAUAACAGUAGCAAACACAAUGUGAUUAAUACAUUUAUUAUUAUUAUGUGUGUGUUUUUUUUUUUUUUAAUUAAAAAAUAUAACGUAUUAAUUUAGCAUGUCACCAUUUAAAUAUGUAAUAAUCGAAUACUACAUAUAUGUAUAUACAUGUUUUUAAAACGUAUGUUUUGUGAAAAAUUUGUGUAUGUUGUAUUUGUAAUAACAGUUUGUGUUCGUGUAACAAAUAUUGUUAAAUAAAAUAAAAAACAUUUAUAAUAUGACAUUUUUUUAUUUAAUUUAUUUAUAUAACAAAAUAAAAAAAAAAUAAAAAAAUUUAGCAGUAUGACAGCAGAAAAUCAGUUAGAAAAUAAAGAUGGAUUACAAAAUUCGAGUAAAUUAAUUAAUAUUAUUAAUAGUAGAACAUAAUUAUAUAUAAUUUUUUAUCAAUAAAGUAAAAAUAAUUUUUACAUAAUAUAUUAUAAAAAAUAUAUAUACAUUUAAUUUAUCAGGUGAUAAGCAAAAUUUACACGUUAAAAAAUCACUCUCGCAAGCACUUGAACAAAGCGUUAUAACGACACCUAACAAUGACACUAAUAAUGAAGAAAAAGAUUCAUAUGUAACAACAUUUUUAGAAUGGCUUGAUGCUGUUCUUGUUAUUUUGUUUAUUUUUCUAGUAGGUGCAAAAUAUUUAAGUCCAUAUAUCAGUCCAAGACAAAAUAAUAGACCUAAUGUUAGACAUAAUCAAUAUGUUGCAGAAGAACUAUAUCCUGCGUUAAACAUUUUACCACUUAUGGAUAAUCAUGUCAAUCGUUUUCAUCAUUUCAAUUCUUUCGAUCGUCAUAGAGAAUAAUAUAAUAGACAUUUUUAAGCAUACUAUUUAUGAAUGCACAAUUUUUUAAAAAGAACAAAAUAUAUAUGAAUAUUUGAUACAGUUGUUUAUUAUGUUUGCGCAUUGUUAUUGCUAUAAAAAUGUCCGAUAGUUUAGUUUUUAUUAUAGUUGUACAUUGUGAGUGAUUGUUGUAUACUAAUUUAAUUUUUGCAUUAACUUCAGGUGUGUUCGUUGCUUGUAUUUUUGUUUGUUUUUUCAUGCUACAUUAAUUGAGUUGUGUUUUUUUUGCAUUUGUUAAUAUGUACAAUUAAAUGUGAUAAUUUUUUUUUUUAUUUUUAAAUUUAAUAU
rnacentral:lncRNA from 1 species